ensembl:lncRNA
GAGCAGGUAGCCUAGUGGGUAGAGCAGGUAGCCUAGUGGUUAGAGCAGGUAGCCUAGUGGGUAGAGCAGGUAGCCUAGUGGUUAGAGCAGGUAGCCUAGUGGUUAGAGCAGGUAGCCUAGUGGUUAGAGCAGGUAGCCUAGUGGUUAGAGCAGGUAGCCUAGUGGGUAGAGCAGGUAGCCUAGUGGGUAGAGCAGGUAGCCUAGUGGUUAGAGCAGGUAGCCUAGUGGUUAGAGCAGGUAGCCUAGUGGUU